GGAGAGGUGGCUGAGCGGUUGAAAGCGCUCGAUUCGAAAUCGAGUAGGCAGAUAAUAUCUGUCUCGAGGGUUCAAAUCCCUCCCUCUCCGCCA
rnacentral:tRNA from 1 species